AUAUACGGUCAAGUUAUCAAGAGCACACAGCGGAUGCCUUGGCAUCAGCAGUCGAAGAAGGACGUGGCAAGCUGCGAUAAGCCCCGGGGAGGAGCAAACUUCCUUUGAUCCGGGGAUUUCCGAAUGGGGAAACCCCCCGCCUUAGGCGGGAUCAUUCAGGAAAAGCGCGCGCAAGCGUGUAUACCUGUCUGAAGGCAACCCGGCGAACUGAACCAUCUAAGUAGCCGGAGGAAAAGAAAUCGAACGAGAUUCCCUGAGUAGCGGCGAGCGAAACGGGAACAGCCUAAACCGUUCCGGCGUGACAGCGUGUACGCGUUGUCGGAGCGGGGUCGUGGGACCGGAUGUGCCUGUUGUACAUAACAGGCGUGCAGUAAAAAAACAUUUGUAUAGCGGAAUCGCCCUGGAAUAGGCGUACCAUAGGGGGUGACAGUCCCGUACGCGAAAUACGAAUGUCUUCAUUGUCCGGCACCCGAGUAUCACGGGGCACGUGGAAUCCUGUGAGAAUUUGUCCAGACCAUUGGAUAAGGCUAAAUACUCGCUGAUGACCGAUAGUGAACUAGUACCGUGAGGGAAAGGUGAAAAGUCCCCCGAGAGGGGAGUGAAAUAGUACCUGAAACUGUGAUGCUUACAAUCAGUCGGAGGACUAUGCCCGGAUGUUGUUCCGCUUCGGCGGGACAAUAUGAAGGGAAUGUCUGACGGCGUGCCUUUUGCAUAAUGAACCGGCGACUUAAUGUCAGCAGCAAGGUUAAGUCCGUAGGGACGCAGCCGUAGCGAAAGCGAGUCUGAAUAGGGCGAUUUAGUUGCUGGCUUUAGACCCGAAACCAGGUGAUCUAUCCAUGGACAGGGUGAAGCGAUUGUAAAAAGUCGUGGAGGCCCGAACCCACUUCAGUAGAAAAUGGAGGGGAUGAGCUGUGGAUAGGGGUGAAAGGCCAAUCUAACUUGGUGAUAGCUGGUUCUUCCCGAAAUGCAUUUAGGUGCAGCCUGAUAGUUUAAGCUUUGGGGGUAGAGCACUGGAUAGUGUAGGGGCCUUACCGGGUUUCCGAAACUAACCAAACUCCGAAUACCAUUGUGUACACUGUCAGAGUGAGCCCGCGGGGGAUAAGCUCCGUGGACGAGAGGGCAACAACCCAGACCAUCUGAUAAGGUCUCUAAUAUUAGCUAAGUGUCAAAGGAUGUGAAUUCGCUCAGACAUCCAGGAGGUUGGCUUAGAAGCAGCCAUCCUUUAAAGAAUGCGUAAUAGCUCACUGGCCGAGUGGAUUCGCGCCAAAAAUUCCGGAGGCUAAGCUAAUAACCGAAGCAGUGGAUUCUGAAUUCCUUCGGGGAUUCAGUCUGGUAGGGAAGCGUUCUGCGUGUAGGAUGAAGGGAUACCGUAAGGAGUCCUGGACGAAACAGAAGUGAUGAUGUCGGUAUAAGUAACGAUAACUGCUGUGAGAAACAGCGGCGCCGAAAACCUAAGGUUUCCAUGAGUAAAGUUAAUCUGCUCUGGGUUAGUCGUUCCUAAGGCGAGGCCGAAAGGCGUAGUCGAUGGGAAACAGGUUAAUAUUCCUGUACCACUAUUAAACGUUUGUACCUUGGAGAGACGCAGUUGAGGAGGUCAUCUUCCUGACGGAUUAGGGAGUAUUCGCCGCAAGGCGGAUGGAUCUGCCGAAAGGCAGAGAACUGACUGAAUGGACUGCCAGGAAAAUCUCCUUCAGGGAGGAUAAUAGUGUGCGUACCGUAAACCGACACAGGUAGGUGGGAUGAGAAUUCUAAGGCGCUCGAGUAAUUCCCCGUUUAGGAACUCGGCAAAUUGACCCCGUAACUUCGGAAGAAGGGGUGCCCCUGUAGGGGCGGAUGGAAGGUAUAAUGUAAUAAGGGCGGACAUCUUCUUCGUGGAGAUGGAAACCUGGACUUACAUGUGCCGGAAAUCCGUUUUGAAAGGGCUGCAAUAACCAGGUCCAUGCGACUGUUUAACAAAAACACAGGUCUCUGCUAAGUCGUAAGACGAUGUAUAGGGACUGAUGCCUGCCCAAUGCCGGAAGGUUAAGGGGAGGAGUGCAAGCUCCGAACCUAAGCCCUGGUGAAUGGCGGCCGUAACUAUAACGGUCCUAAGGUAGCGAAAUUCCUUGUCAGGUAAGUUCUGACCUGCACGAAUGGCAUAACGAUGUGGACACUGUCUCAAUGGGGAGCUCGGUGAAAUUGUGUUACCGGUGAAGACGCCGGUUACCCGUACCGGGACGGAAAGACCCCGGGAACUUUACUGUAACCUAUCAUUGGAUUACGGAAUAUUCUGCGUAGGAUAGGUGGGAGACUUUGAAACUUCGGCUUUGGCCGGGGUGGAGUCAACCUUGAAAUACCACCCUGAAUGUUUUGUGAUUCUAACCUUGACCCGUGAAUCCGGGCAAGGAACAGUGUUAGGCGGGCAGUUUGACUGGGGCGGUUUUCUCCUAAAGAGUAACGGAGAAGUCCAAAGGUCACCUCAACCCGUAUAAAAGCCGGGUGUUGAGUGCAAAGGCAUAAGGUGGCUUAACUGCGAGAGAGACAUCUCAAGCAGAUACGAAAGUAGGGCUUAGUGAUCCGGUGGCUCCGAAUGGAAGGGCCAUCGCUCAACGGAUAAAAGUUACCCCGGGGAUAACAGGCUUAUCUCCCCCAAGAGUUCAUAUCGACGGGGAGGUUUGGCACCUCGAUGUCGGCUCGCCGUAUCCUGGGGCUGUAUAAGGUCCCAAGGGUUGGUCUGUUCGCCCAUUAAAACGGCACGCGAGCUGGGUUCAGUACGUCGUGAGACAGUACGGUCCCUAUCUGGUACGGGCGUAGGAAAUUUGAGGAGAGCUGUCUCUAGUACGAGAGGACCGAGAUGGACAAACCUCUGGUGUACCAGUUGUUCCGCCAGGAGCAUCGCUGGGUAGCCACGUUUGGACAGGAUAACCGCUGAAAGCAUCUAAGUGGGAAGCCAACUCCAAGAUAAGAUUUCCCUGUCUAAGUCUU
rnacentral:rRNA from 1 species